rnacentral:lncRNA from 1 species
GACACUUGUGCACCUACUGUUUCUUUUCAGGCUAGCUUGUACACAGUUUCUAAGCGACAUUACCUUGACUGAAAAUGUUACCCAUCAAGUUACUCUUUAUUAGCCAAUUCUUCAGUUCAAUUGUUGACAAAAAGAAAAUAAAAAUUCAUGCUAGUUGGAUUCCAAGAAGGAAUCUUUAGCAGUGCCGUAUUGAAAUAAUAAAGAAAAUACAAAUUAAUACUCCAGGGCAAGUAUUAGCCUGUUGCUCCAGAACCAAUGGGGUGUAGGCUAUGGUGCAGUCAGU